GAUGAACGCUGGCGGCGUGCCUAAUACAUGCAAGUCGAGCGAACGGACGAGAAGCUUGCUUCUCUGAUGUUAGCGGCGGACGGGUGAGUAACACGUGGAUAACCUACCUAUAAGACUGGGAUAACUUCGGGAAACCGGAGCUAAUACCGGAUAAUAUUUUGAACCGCAUGGUUCAAAAGUGAAAGACGGUCUUGCUGUCACUUAUAGAUGGAUCCGCGCUGCAUUAGCUAGUUGGUAAGGUAACGGCUUACCAAGGCAACGAUGCAUAGCCGACCUGAGAGGGUGAUCGGCCACACUGGAACUGAGACACGGUCCAGACUCCUACGGGAGGCAGCAGUAGGGAAUCUUCCGCAAUGGGCGAAAGCCUGACGGAGCAACGCCGCGUGAGUGAUGAAGGUCUUAGGAUCGUAAAACUCUGUUAUUAGGGAAGAACAUAUGUGUAAGUAACUGUGCACAUCUUGACGGUACCUAAUCAGAAAGCCGCGGCUAACUACGUG
rnacentral:rRNA from 1 species